rnacentral:lncRNA from 1 species
UUCGAGUGAUAUUUAGAUUGCUCGCCUCUCUUUCUUGUUCGUUCUUCGAUUGCGGACAGGAAUCGAUCUUCGUGAUCAGGCUGAUCUCGCACCGGCGAGGUUGGUAACCAUCGGGAGUUGGUUCAGCGAUUGCAUUGGCGCUUCGGGUUCGCUCGUCGUAGUCGGAUCGUGAGGGUCUACUUCCACCAAGUCGAAUUUAUCUCCACUCACCGAAAGAUCGGGCACUCCGACUCUAUCACCAGCGGCUUGUCGUAAUAGGGCAGCAUGGUGGCAAGAAGGGGAGAGGUGGCGUGAGAGGGCGGAGAGCUUGGGUUGGUGUUCGGGUAGCAUAACGGGGCUACCUUGGAAGUUUCCAUGGCAGCAUGAUGGCCGGGGAAGACCAGUGGCAAGUGGUGGUGAUGAGAGAGUGCGGAGCGGUCGUCAAAGGGUCACUUUGGCACUAGGAGGAGAUGGCUAGGGGCUUGCGAUGAUCCUUGACUUCAAACCGGCCCGAUCCUUGGAGAAAGGAGGCGGCAAGCUUGGGUCCUAAUCCAGCGGGAGGGAGAGGAGGUGGUGGUGGUGGGGAGGAACUGGGAGGGGCUAUUUAUAGACCUAGGAAGACCGCGUUGUGCAGCUCAAGCUGUCAGAUAAGGAGGAGGGGGAAUUGAGGAGUUCGUGGGUGACUAAUGGCAGGCGGCUGCGCGGCGGUGCUGUGUGCAUGGGAGUGGCGGUCUGGUGUGCGUGGCAGGGUGGUGGAGAGGGGGUUUUGGGCAUGGAUAAGAGCAUGGGUAGAUGCGCGUGGAUGAGGUGGUCACAUGGGCCUAAUCGGAGGGGUGCUCCUUGCCGGGGUUGGCGUGGGAAGGGCCAGAGUUGCUGGGCUCUUGCGUUACCGGGUACGCAUGGGCGGUUAAGGUCAGUCAGGGGUAGAGGAGUGGUUUCGGCGUGGGAUGAGGAGUUUUGGCAAUGCAGCUGUUGACGCCAGAUUUUGACACGUGUGUAAUCGGCGUCAGGGAAGGAAGAAAUCAGAAGGAGCAGCGAGACACAGGGGUGGCGGUUGGGAAUCGGCCGAUUGGUGCUACAGUCAUGGACCGGCCGAUUGACCUUUGGAGUUCCGCCUCGCCCGACCCCUGAGGCCUGGGAUCGGAUGCGCCCGACCCUCCGAGGGAGGAUUUCCGCCUCGCCCGACCCCUGAGGCCUGGGAUCGGAUGCGCCCGACCCUCCGAGGAAGGAUCUCCGCCUCGCCUGACCUUAGGUCCCAGGGUCCGAAUAGUCAGAGCCCCCGACAUGUGGGUCCUAAUCGGCUAUCCCUUGCCGAUGAGGUGAAUAGAAAUCGGUCAAUUAGGAGGCCGGAAUAAUUGGGCCGGUUUGGGCCUAAAGAGGAUUAUGAAGAUGAAGAGGGAAUCAGCCCAUGAAGAGCGCGAUAAUCGACCUAGUACGAGUCUGUUGACGCUAGAUUUUGUCACUAGUAGAAUCAGCGCCAAGAGGAGAGAAAAUUGGAAAAAUACAGUUGGGAAUCGGCCGAAUGGCGCUACAGUUCUAGAUCGGUUGGUUGGCGCUACAGUCCAAGAUCGGCCAAUGCUACAGUGCGGGAUCGGCCAGUGACUUCUGCCUCGUUUCCGGGUCGGACACGCCGGGUUCCCGAUCGGUUACCUUUUGCCGAUAAGGAAUCGGCCGAUUAAGGAGGUUGGGAUAAUUGGGCCGGUAUGGGCUUGGAAAGGAAUAGAAGGAUAAGGGGGAGAUCAGCCCAUGAAGCGUAUAGUAACCAACCUAGCACGAAUCGUGCUUGUAAAUGUUCGUUUUCUAUUUGAAUUAGGGAUAGAAUUCUAGUCAGUUAAGGAGUCAUCUGUACAGGGCUAUAAAUAGCUACCUUUGUAAAUCUGUAAUCAUCAACAAAUCAAUACAACCAACUACUUUUUCCUCGUACUUACUUUCAAGCAGGCGACUUCGCCAAAUACUUUUUCUUUUCACGAGUUCGUGCGAGUUGGCAAGGCUGCAUCAACUUGAUCUCCGGCCAAUCUUGUAAGUUCCGUUUACCGAAUACACUCUAGGCUUUAACUUCGGGCGUAUCGCUGUUGUUUCGUUUAGAUUUAUUCACUAGUUAUCGAUAUUUACUAGAAUCAUAGGUUUUACCUGUCUUUCUAGUUUUAUCACCAGUUAUCCAGCUAGGAAUCGGCGGUUUCGGCUCUCUUUACAUUCUGUUAUUAAAUUCAUUUAUUUUAUAUUGCCGAUUAGAUCUAUUCCUAGUGUUGUUAUCAUAGCUUUGCGUCGAUUACUCCAGUAGUUUUCCGUCCACAAGGCUACAGUGAUCGGCUGUCUUAUAGCCGAUUUCUUUAUUACGGCAAAUCGGCCGAUUCGCUGAUAAGCUCUCUCGAGAUCGGAAAUUUAGCCGAUCGUGAUUUCUGGACCUGACACGUAUUCUUCCUUGCCAAUCAACAGGUCAGAUUGGCUGGCACGCCGCGCGAAUCGCACUAGGGCAAUCACCCGAACAGGAGUUAAGCAGAUUCUCCCGGGUCGUGUGUCAGACGCUGGGAUUCGGUUGACCGAUUUCUAGCGCCAACACACUUUUGGCACGCCCGGUGGGACCCAUACAACUGCCGCCAUGUCGAAAGCUGCUGAAGUCUCCGAAGAUAACGUCAUCGAGGUGACGGAAGCAGAUCUAAAGGAUGACCAGAAAGAAGAACUGGAUAAACAUAUGGCACAGUUCCGGAAAGCUUGCCUGCAGUCUUUCAGUCGCUCCAGAAGCGGGGAGACUAUCAAAAAGUCUCCAUUUCCUGCUCCCCGCCAGAUCACAAUCUCUGAGGACUCGGCCAAAAUGGCCGAUAUGGUUCAACAGUCUGUUUAUCACGCCUUCGUUGAUCAGUCCCCGGUACUUUCAAAUACGAUGUCCAACGCCGUUGUCAACUCCUUCGCUGGUGGGAUACCUCAAGGAUACAGGGGACCGGCGUAUACUCAGCCGAUUCCACCAAACUAGAGUUAUUUGAAUUCGGUUUCUCAGCCAAUCCAAUUUUCUGUCGGGAGUUCAGGUGCUUCCUCAUCAUCAGCUCCUAUGGGCUAUAACUCCAUCCAACUGUCUUCUGCACCAUUCCCUCCAGUUAGCCCAUCACCUUGGGGGGCACCAUCAGCCACGGCCGGUCAGAAUCAAUCGGCCAGUCAAGGAGGCCCUCCAUUCCAGGCAUCUUUCCAAGCGGCCAUUCGGCCGACCGUGUCGCCAUACCAGCCUGUCGCACUAGAGAUGAAUAAAACAGCAGAGCUCAUGCUGUAUGAUGAAACAAGUGGCUCAUUCAAACAGCCGAUUUUCAAUACACAGCCGGCUUUCACUCAGAUGCCACCUGCUUUCACUCAACAUCAGGCUAUUCCACCUCCGGUAUACCAGCACGUGCCAAUGCCUCAGCCAACGGUUCACCAGCAACAGCCAGAUUGGUCGGCACGUAUUGCGGAGGUGAUUCAGGAACAAUUCGGCUUAAAGCCGAAGGUACAAACUUACACCUAUAGGACACCAUACCCGUCUACAUAUGACCUACUGCCGUUUCCCCAUCGGUAUAAAGUUCCUGACUUCACCAAGUUCUCGGGGAUGGAUGAUACUUCAACCGUGGAGCACGUAAAUAGAUUCAUCAUCCAAUGCGGAGAGGCAGCUACGCAGGAUGCUCUACGGGUGCGAUUGUUCUCAUCAUCUUUGUCUGGUUCGGCCUUUCAGUGGUUCACGACAUUGCCGCCAAACUCGAUUAUCACGUGAGCCGAUUUAGAAAGACAGUUCCACAAAUACUUCUACGCCGGGGUGCAUGAGAUGAAGCUGUCCGAUUUGACCAGCCUCCGGCAGAGAAGUGACGAGCCGAUAUCCUCGUAUAUACAGAGGUUUCGGGAAAUCAGAAACAAGUGCUACUCUCUGGCUCUAACCGAUGCGCAGUUGGCCGAUAUAGCUUUCCAAGGCCUUCUGCCCCACAUCAAAGAAAAAUACGCCUCACAGGAGUUCGAGAGUUUAAGCCAAAUUGUCCACCGAUUGUCUGGACAGGAGGUACGCUCUUUCGAUCCACGAAGGAAUUUCCAGAAGAAAGUAGCGUUCCUGGAAGAGAUGGAGGACGAGGAAGAUGUUGAGGUCGGGCUUGCGGAAUGGGUCAAGGGAAAGAAGCCAAUAUCAUGCCCGUUCGGUAAAAAGGAGCCAGAAGCAUUCGGUUUUGACACAACAAAGGCCGAUAAAAUCUUCAACCUUCUCCUCCAGGAAGGGCAGAUCAAGCUCUCGCCCUAUCAUACAAUACCUUCUGCCGAACAACUAAAAAAGAUGAAAUAUUGCAAGUGGCACAACGCCACAUCCCAUGAUACUAAUGAGUGCAAAAUCUUCAGGCAGCAGAUACAAUCAGCCAUUGAGCAAGGCAGACUUAAAUUUGAAGUGCCGACAAAAUCGGCCAAACCAAUGAAGAUCGACCAGCACCCCUUUCCCACCAACAUGGUUGAUACAGGGAAGAAUUCACUCCAAACAAAGGUGCUGACGUCCGAAUCGGCUAAAAAGAGUGGUGCCGUUGACCCCAGAAAUCAAGCUACGCCUGAAGAUGUCAAGGGGAAGCGGCGGAUGGAGGACGACGAUGGCGAAUCGGAAGAGCCACGCAUUACUUCCCAGUUCCUGCUCCAAAAAUACCAGCGCCAGCAUGAACGCUCAAGAUCCCAGGAAGAAGCGAUGCGACGGCACGAAGAUCACUGGAGGUGCCCGUUCUUCAUCCACUGUUGGGAAAACAACCUUAGGCUACCUUCGGCCGAUAAUUGCCCAGAAUGCAACGGUCCGUAUCGUGGCAAUCGGCCGUUCAACAGGUCUCGCUCCAGAGACAGAAGGCCAGAACCAAUCAGCAGGAAUUGGCGCAACCAAGAUGACCAGCACCCUCCCGUGCGUGAUCGGCUGGGGGGCAGAAGUGACCGAUAUGAUCGGUGGGAAGAUAGACGCCACGACAGGCAGGCGGGCAGGACUGAUCGAUAUGACCAGUCAGAAAACAAGGACAACGUUCACAGUCGGCUUGAAGAGAUGGCCGACGCUCGGGUGAUAGACGAGAACCCUUUAGGGCACGAACCGGAGUGGGAACGCGCCAAGUCAGGGGGCAAACCAAUAAACCCCAGAUGGUGUCCCGACGGGUUGACCAAAUCUCAAAAACGAAGGAUCCAACAUCUCCGCCAAUGGGAACAGCAGGAAGAAGAACAACAGAGCACAACGGACAGGAAGGAAGGGAGGCCUCGGGUAUGGCGCCCCAAAAGAAACGAUAAAGGGGACGACGAGUCGGCAGGUGAUGAAUCGGCAGCCGAUAUUGGCAUGGUUUUCAUACUGCCGAUGGAAUUCAUGACUCCAGCCGAUCGACAGGAUAUGUCAGCAGUAGAAGAGCAGAUGGCACAGUUGGCUUUGGAGCCAAUGAUGGCCACGUUCGAGAAGCCUGAGGAUGACAAAUGACAACACCUGAAAGCUUUAUUCCUCAAAGGGCAUGUCAACGGUCGCCCCCUCACCAGAUUAAUGGUAGAUGGAGGAGCUGCGGUCAAUAUCAUGCCAUAUGCCGUUCUCCGGAAGCUUGGGAAGAGUGAUGAUGACCUGACCAAGAUAGACAUGAUGCUCAAAGACUUCGAAGGCGACGUGUCAAACGCUCGCGGCGCUCUCUGCGUCGACCUCACCAUCGGUAGUAAGACCCUUCCCACCACCUUCUUUAUUAUUAAUGGCAAGGGAUCCUACAACAUGCUACUCGGCCGGGACUGGAUACACGCAAAUUGCUGCAUCCCAUCAACAAUGCAUCAAUGUCUUGUACAAUGGGUCGGCGACAACAUCGAGGUAGUCAACGCCGAUUCCGCAUACAGCAUCGCGGCAGCCGACACGCAGCAGUGGAGCUACGAAACCGUUAGGUGCAUAUCCGGCAGAGUAUGGGAGACCGAUUUCCUGAAGGUCACCGAUUUUGGCCUGCAGCCGAUCCGAGCUGAUGAGGACACCACGAGUACAUCUACACCAGCAGCACCUCAGGCGCCUCCAGUUGCUCAUCCACCUCAGGCGCCUACAGUUGCUCAUCCAGUUGGGCCAAUCACUCGAGCCCGUGCGAGAGAAUUAAACUUCAUCAUGCUGUUAAGGAACGAAGGCCCAUCGGAAUAAGAAGAUGGCCCAACAGGGCAGCCCAGGUGGGGCGCCUAGGGUUGGGCGCCGUGACCCCUUCGGACUCCAGGGGCUGCGCCCCCUUUAUUUAGUCCGAGUCCUUUUUGUUUACGACUUGAGUUUUGUUUUACAUCUAGCUUUAGCUACUCUUGAACACGCGCAAAUACGCGCUGUCCUUGUGAUUCAGAACUCCACCUUCGAGUGAUAUUUAGAUUGCUCGCCUCUCUUUCUUGUUCGUUCUUCGAUUGCGGACAGGAAUCGAUCUUCGUGAUCAGGCUGAUCUCGCACCGGCGAGGUUGGUAACCAUCGGGAGUUGGUUCAGCGAUUGCAUUGGCGCUUCGGGUUCGCUCGUCGUAGUCGGAUCGUGAGGGUCUACUUCCACCAAAUCGAAUUUAUCUCCACUCACCGAAAGAUCGGGCACUCCGACUCUAUCAAGUGGUAUCAGCUUUCCAGGUUGAUCGGUGAGUUUUACCGAGUGUUUUUCCCUUCCUACAGUCCACAAAAACCAAAAGAAAUUUUUUCAGGUUAGAUCCUUGUCCCAGCAACCGUUUAGCCUCGCACAUUCUUUCAAUAAGUGUCUUUGUUGAAUUUGUGUGCCUACUCGUUCAAUUGUUGCUGGUUACUUGUGUUUAAUCUUUUGUUUCUCGUUUUUCAUCUAACCCUAGUUUUCGCCGCCGCCGCCGUUCCGCUGCUCGCCAACCCUACCAGCCGCGCCCACCGCACCUCCCCCCGCGACAACCGCGCCGCGCCAUCCCACUACUCCGAUCGCCCCUCCCCUGUCAAAAAAAAGAAAAAAAGAUCGAAAGCAAUCAAAAAAAAGGAAAGUGCAAAAAAAAAAAGGAAAGAAGCAAAAAAAAAAAAAAAAAAAGACGAAGAAGAAUCCAACAGGGAGAAGGAAGGUGAUUCGGAUUUGUUUCGGUGGAACCUCCCUUUGCGCGCGCCGUGACUCCUCCUGGGUCACGACUCUCUGGUGUUAAUUCCCCCCUCCC